AUGAAAAGGAUAAGAGGCUACAUUUCGGCAGUGCAAAAUCACCAACGCUCGUGGAAACGUGCGAGAAACUUUAAUGCCACGAUAUUCUUCCGUUGGGGCGGAAAGGAAGGGGUGUGUGGUAAAGAAAGAGAGGGCCAAUUCUCGUUUCAUUGUUUCGUACGAUUACCAUCGAUCGUCGUAACGCUUUACGCGUGAACGAGCGUAAAUAUCGAUGGAUCGAUGGCACGGGCGCUUUCAAAAGUAUUUACAGAUUUAUUUUGUCAAAUAUUGCUAUGACGCGGUUGAUCGUGGACGACGAAUGAACGAACGAACAAACGAACGAAAGAAUGAACGAUCGAAAAAAAAAAAAAAAAUAAAUAAAAUAGAAAGGAGAGGAAAAAAUACAAUCAACGGAUUCGACAAUAUUUUUAUCCCCGCGAGGCCAUUUUUUGUUUCUUUGCUUUUUAUUUUUUAUUUUUUAUUUUCUUUUUUUUAUUAUUAUAUUUUAUUUUUCUCUUCCUUCUCACCACCCCUGUCUCCUUCCCUUCCCCCUAUAAUCGAGCACACGAUUUAUUACUUUGAUACGCAUGUAUGUUCAUGAAUUUGUACGAAUAGGGGCGUUGAGUGAAAAGCGAACGCUAUUACAAGGAAGAAACGCGUGUAGAUUUUCCAGUUCUAAGCGCCACAAACGAAGCCAUUGAUUCUUUUUUCAACUACAGAGAAAGAAAGAGAAAAAGAGAGAGAGAGAGAGAGAGAGAGAGAGAGAGAGAUUCAUGGAAAGUUUUAAAAAGCGAUGCGACAACGAGCCGAUUGUGAUGAAGGAAUCGUCGUGCCUGUAAACGGAAGGGCUCCGAUGUCCUCUCCUUCAAUCGAAACGAGAGCAGCAUUCGACAAGAGUCGUACAGCAACGGAGAACAAUGACGAUCCUGGCACGGUCGAAGGAACGCCAAUACACAACCAUCUCAAUUAUAUAUAUGUGUACAUAUAUAUAUAUAUAUACACACGCAAACACUAUACCUACAUAUAUAUAUAUAUAGCUAUGUAUAUCUGGACGCCACCAUCAUUAAUUUCAUUGAUUUGUGACUCGAGUGAGUAGAAGGAUAAGCAUCGAUUUUCUCAACCUCUCGUUAUUCUCUAUUCGUAUUUGAAGGAUUAGAAUCGGACCCGUUGUAAUUAGAAUCACGAUUGUCUCUACCUAUCUGUCUCUCUCUUUCUCUCUGUCUGUCCGUUUCUCACUGUUUUUCUCUCUCUCUCUCUCUCUCUCUCUGUCUCUUUGUAUAUAUAUAUAUAUAUAUCUUUCUCUUUAUGCCUCUGUUAAAUUAAAAUCAUAACUUUGUAAGGUUUUCGCUUUGAUAACCGAGAUAGAAAGAGAGAUAUCUCUUUUCAAACAACCUAAACAAGUAUAAUUAUGUCUCUCUGUAUUUUGUCCAACCAGUGUAAUGGACAUAUUCAAUUAAAUCCCUUUCUCUUCUUUUUUACGAGAUCUCUCAGCGACUCGUUUUUCAACGUUGUACAAAUCGUUAAAAACGAGUAUCGGGGAGCACUAUAUCGUCGUCAUAGUUAUCAUUGGAUGAACGAGUAAAAAAAAUAAAGAAAAAGAAACGCGACUGUGGAAGUGGAUUGGUAAUAAUAAUGUGAACUCGGUAUACGAAUAAAACGCGAAACGUGUAAUAUAUAUGUACGUAUGUAAUUCAAAACGGUCUGAGAGUACGUUACUUUUACAAUCCUGUGGAUACUAAAAUUGAAUUCGAAUCGGAGUCUCUCAUGUUUAUUGCAAUAGUAUUGGUGAUCGUCGUUUUUGUAUCUGGCAGAAACGGUAUCCAUUAAAAAUUCGAGUAAAAUCAGUGCUGCGAAUUUAUAUACGUAUUUCCUCCUCCUCCUCCUCCUCCUCUUCCUUGGUUUCUCUUUCUACUCUUCUAUGCGAUUUAUCGCAGCAUCAUUGAGAUCUCUUGUUCUCUCCAUUUUCGCAAAGGUUAAAGGACCAUCAGGGCACGUGAUUCCACUGGGCUGGCUGCUCUUUGUCGUAAUUGAAUUCGUUAAUUACAGGCGUACCGAUUACGCUCAUUUAAUACAUUUUCAUGCAAUUUUGCGUGCGUUGUAAUGGGAACGAAAGCUAUGUUUAUAUAUAUAUACAUAUACGUAUGUAUGUAUGUAUAUAUCUAUGUAUAAUUUCUAUUAUGGAGGAAGAGUCGUUUAAGGCUCGUCUAUAAUAAAUCACGUCUUGCUAAUCGCUCCGACUAGCGUUUUAGGAGAAUCCUACUAAUGACGCUAAUGACACCGCACCCUAAUUACGCGACACGAGUUGUCUCCGAAUUCGAACGGAACACGAGAUCCGCUCGUUCGAGUUCACCUAUUUUUUCUUUUUUUCUUUUUCUCCUUCUCCUCCUCGAUUUUUUUCAUUUUUUUUUCUUUUCUGUUCCUCUUUUUUCUUUUCUUCUUCAUCUUUACCGAUCUUUUACCCGGAAAAAAAUGUCCACCUUGUCUCUUAUCUAAGACAUUUUAUCGGGCUGUUGCCUUUCUCCAAUUUGCUUUUUCGCACGCUGUACCGUUAUAUAUCGUUUCCCUUCGUCAUUUAUGCCCUUAACGUACAACUAUCAUAUUUAUCUAGCAUAUUAAUCGGGACCCUGGCAUUUUUGUAAGAUAGAUUUCCGUCCGUUAUUAAAUUUCAUUAAAAGUCCGCAAUUAAAAAGGGUACCCUGAGGGUGAUAUUUUUUCCUUUUCCUUUCUUUUCUUUUUUUUUUUUCUUUUUCUUUUUUCUUCUUGUUCUUUUUUUUUUUUUUUUUUUUUUCCUAACUCCCGCGAGCGCGUGUCCUUCUACUGUCCCUAGUUAAUAUCAAUCGUAAAAAUGCGAUAGGAAACGUUUACAAAAUUCUUUCCUCACUUUGCGCGAAUGUAAGUAAAAGCGAUCGAAAAGAAAAAAAAACAAGAAAUAAAAGGAACAAAAAAAAUUACAAAUAAAAGUAUAUUAAAAAACAAAAACAAAAAAAAAAAGGAAUAGAAAUGGAGGGUUGGAGGAAACUUUCAUUUCGGAAAGUUAAUCGAUAUAAAAUUAAUACCAUCCACGUUAAUUAUUCUCCACGUUCAUCGAUGUCAUUCUAUCUUCCCCUUUUACUCGCGUGCGAUAUCACGAGGUUAUAAAAAAAAAAGAAAAGAAAAGAAGAAAAAACAUUGAUGGAAAAUUCGACGAGGCUCUCUUCGAUUUCGCGAUAGGUAAACGACGAAUUGGCAAUUUUGGCCAAGUGCGAUAUCGCCCGGUAAAACAAAAAAAAAAAAAAAUAACAAUAAAAACAAUAGCAAUGACGUUAACAUCAAGAAGAACAAGAACGAUAACAAAAUAACAUUAACGAGGACAAUGACAAUGUUGAUAAAGGGCAAUGGUUAUCGUAACGUUCCGGCCUUUAUUAUGUUUCGAUCGUGCUUGGUAAUUGAACCAUUAUUACCUAUAGUAAACCUAUAUACAACGAAUAGCAGUUAUCGAAUGAGAGAUAUACGUCGAGUGAGCCAGACCAGUCCAAUUAUUAUUUACUAAAUACCAGCCAGCCAGCCAGCCAGCCAGCCAGUCAAUCCAAUCUUUCGAUGGUUCUCGUUGUUGCGCGUGCCGUUGGUAAAGCACCGAUCCCUGUUCGAAAACCUUCUGAAGAUUUUCUUUUUUCCUUUCCCUUUCGUUGAGAAAGGAGUAAAAGAGGAAGGAAGGAAGGAAGGAAGGAAAGAAGGAAGGAGAAUGUAAGUGCGUAGAAAUGCUUUUCAAAGUCCACUAGAGGAACUCGUGCAUGCUUAUAAAUGCGUAGGACGAUAGAACCCUCUCGAAAAGAGAAGAAGGAGGAGGAGGAGAAGGAGGAGGAAGAGGAGGGAAUUCUCUUCAGAAGCUCGAUUUUCAGGAGCCUUAUCGAGUUUCGAAGAUUCGAAAGGAGUCACCGACAGCCCUUUCCUUCCUUCCUUCCUUCCUUCCUUCCUUCCUUCCUACAAAUAUUCUCUCUCCUUUUCCUUUCUUCCUUUAUUGCUGCUUCUCCACCUGUCAGGGCACGACAAAAGUCCGUAAAAUUAAAUAUUGAUUUUGUUUGCGAUCAGAAGAAUCAGCCGCGACUUAUUCUGCGAGCAAAGUAUAGGAACGAGGAUGAGGAUGACAAUGAGGAUGAAGGAUGAAGAGUAUGAGAGUUAAGGUUAAGAUGGGAGGAGACAGAAAAGGAGGAGGGAUUCUUCGUCCUCCCGAGUUUAUCGCUGAUUCCAGUCGGAAAUCCACUUAGGGCAACUUUAAAGGAUGAGACCUCAGGGAUAUCUGCGUCCUCGUAUUUUCGCAAACUGGAAAUGAUUUCUAUACUUUCUUAUCUUUUUUUUUCUUUUUGUCUUUUGUUUUUUUUUCUUCUCCUUUUUUCACUAUCCAUUUUUACCCGCUUGUCCUUUUCUUCGUUAAACUCGCCAUUGCAUACUCGAAUGAUUCUUAUUCACUCUCUCUCUCUCUCUCUCUCUCUCUCUCUCUCUCUCUCUCUCUCUCUCUUUUUCUCUUUUUCUCUUGAUUUCGAACGACCAACCAUCGAUGGAAUUCAUCGAGGCUUCAUUGAACUCGGUGUAAAUUAGAGGCUUCAUAUGGUCUCUCCAUCUCUCUCUCUCUCUCUCUCGCGUGCGCGGUUACGAGUCUCUCAAAAUUCACGACACGAGCCUAACGGCCAGUUGGAAUUUCACUAAAAUUCCUGGCAUAGCCAUAGCCCACGUGAGAACCUUCCGGUUAAUAAUGAAAGCACGUCAGUUUGUAAGUUAAUUAACCUAACGGAUCGAUUAAUCACGAGAGUAAAGAGUCUCGCCCGCAUUUUACUCAAGCUGCUUUUACGAUCGUAAAUCCGAUUCGAUCGGAUCCGAUCGGGGGAUAUUCCUGAUAAUAGUUUCUAUUUUCGAGAUAACAUCAUCUACUUUACAAAAUUCUCUUCGCGUUAUAGGGAUGAAGAGGAAAUUAAAAAAAAAAAAAAAAAAGAAGAUGAAUAAAAAAAAAAAAAAACGAAUAAGCAAAAAACAGUAAAAAAAAAAAAAAAAUAAUCUUUCCUUUCACUUUCCUGUGUUGACCUUUCAAAGUUCGUAGAAUCUAUUCUCUACGGUGUUUAGAAUACUCGACUGUUUUACGUUUCUUCGUUGAAGGUUGUCAUCGCAUUGGUGAAAAAUAUCCACUUGUAUAAACCCAGUUAUAUAUAAUACGUGUCGGUUUUGCCGGCAAGGGUUUCGUAAAACGAAACUUCGAAGAGCAAACUCGCGGUGGUCUCAAGCACGUCGUCCUAGGAUAACCUAACCCCGCACCUCCCCUUCGCUAACUCAGACUUGUCGUCCAUCAUCUAUCCUUCCUUAUUUUCUUUUUUUUUUUUUUAUUUCUUUUUUUUUUUUAUUCUCACUCUUUCUUACAGUUUCUAUCUUUCCUUGUCUCGUGAAAAGCGACACGACGACGAAACCAUCGUUGAUCUUUCUAGGAUAAAAACCACCACCAUUCAUCCUUUCGAAUGCGAAUUUUAUUAGGUGUGUUGUAAGUUCCAAAGUCGAAAAGUCGCUUCGUAAAUUUCAAGAAACCAAAGAAAAGGAAGAAAAGAAAAAAGAAAAAAUUCCGAAUCGAAAACUUUGGAAAUUUCAAUUGCUACGGUUUGAAACUCUUUUCUGUACCUUCUCAAGUUUUUAUCGUCUCAAGGUUACUCUCUUGGAAUACUCCGAUAAUAUAAUCGUCGCGACGUAUCAAUUUUGUACGCGUGAUAGUAAAAAAUUUUGCGACAAGAACAAAAGAAAGAAAGAAAAAAAAAAGAGAGAGAGAGAAAUAGAAAGAAAUUAGAGAGAUUCUUGGAUGGUACAAAUUCGCACGUGAAUGAAGACUCGAGUCUCGUUCUCUGGUUCUCGUCUAAGGAAAGAUUUUGGCAAAUUUCCCGUUCUCCACGUUCUCCGCAGUCAUUCACGAGCCAACAAAACCACACGAGACGAUAACUCGUCCCGGCCGUCAUCGUCGUCAUUUAAACGUUGACGUUAGCCGCGAGCAAACGUGUAACUUGUCUGCCUUUUUCCGCGACAAUAUUGCGAUAAAGGAAGAAAGAAAGAAAGAAAAAAAAAAGAAGAAAAAGAAAAAAAUAAUCGUUAA